UACGUAGGGUCCGAGCGUUGUCCGGAAUUAUUGGGCGUAAAGGGCUCGUAGGCGGUUUGUCGCGUCGGGAGUGAAAACUCAGGGCUCAACCCUGAGCGUGCUUACGAUACGGGCAAACUAGAGGUAUGCAGGGGAGAACGGAAUUCCAGGUGUAGCGGUGAAAUGCGUAGAUAUCUGGAGGAAUACCGGUGGCGAAGGCGGCAUCCUGGACCGACAUUGACGCUGAGGAGCGAAAGCUAGGGGAGCAAACGGG
rnacentral:rRNA from 1 species